GGUUCAGUGGUAGAAUUCUCGCCUGC
rnacentral:piRNA from 7 species